rnacentral:lncRNA from 1 species
AUGUUUUGCCACCAACCGAGGCCAGGUGUAGGCCUGGAACCCUGUACUUGCUCAAAAACCACUUUAAGACGUCUGCCAGUAUUAUUUGCCACAGAAGUCUAUCAAGAUCCAGGCAGGGGUAAGUGUCUUGCCAAGGAUACAAGGGUCCAGAGCAAACCUUUAGCUGUGCGUACACGUGGGUGCUCCAUCGAUCAGUCGUGUCUGACUCUUUGUGACACCACGGAGUGUGGUACAGCCCCCUACCCCGGCUCCUCUGUCAUUUCCCAGGCAAGAAUAGUGGAGUGGGAUGCCUUUUCCUCCUCUAGAGUAUCUUCCCAUCCAGGGAUCAAACUUGCAUCUCCCACAUUACAGGCAGAUUCUUUAACACUGAGCCUCCAGAGAAGCCAUGAGGAAACACAGGGACUUCUCAGAGGAACAGAACAUUCACUGAGAAUCCUUAACCCCGGGGAGGUGCCUAUCCAAUCUGUGAUGCCCAAGGCAAGAUCAGCUUGGGAACAGGGUGGUGUAUGUCCACAAAGAGAAUGCUGCAGAGGAUGCUGGAUCCUGGAAAUGACGUCCAGGGAUUCCACAGGGAAUGGUCUGAUAUACCUCAGGAUCUUAGAGAUGUGCCCUGCACUUCCAUGGCAAUGAUUACCACUGACCCACCAUGAGGAGGCUUGCCCAGGGGCUGCAUCAAGUCCUGCUGGCUCCACCUGAAGCACCAUGGCCCGGAAGUCGCUCCUGCCUUUUGAUGCCAGGCACAGCCUUAACCUGUGUCUCUGCUGCCUCCACACUUUUGAACCUGCCUGAACCUGGGGACGCUGGCGGAUGUUGCAUCUUUCCUGGCUACUACUUAUUUGUUGUGUUAUUCGGAUCUCAUACUCUGUCCCUCUCUCCCCUGGAAAUUGUUUUGUUUUCAAGACACCUCAGAGAAUUGGCAGCUCAAUUGGAAAUGGAAGGAUUUGUGUACCUUUUUUAAGUUUCUACCUCUGUCACUCUUAAUAAAGGCAGUGAGAAAAUAAACUAAAUAUUAGAA